GAUACGGUGGAGCUGGAAAGCAUCAGGAUGAUGCAGCUUCAGGAUGAAGAAGUGGAUGCGCUCAGUGAAGAGCGAAGGACGGCGUCAGGAGAUGCUCAGGAUGUUUCAGGAUUGAAACCAGGGACACCUCCAGGAUGGAGAUUGAGAGCUGGCACAGGAUGGUUGGCGGGUCAUGAAGACUGAGGAACCGCGUCAGGACGAUGCUACAGGACAGAGCCAGGAUGGUUUUGGUCAGGAUGGCCGCAGGAAAAGUUUUCAAGGAUUGAGCAGGGAGCACACUGUGUAGCGGGACUGCUAUAAAACGAACCGAGGGCACUGUUAGCGCAGUGCCCUCAACUUUUUAU
rfam:Serratia proteamaculans 568, complete genome.